rnacentral:rRNA from 1 species
UACAGAGGGGGCAAGCGUUGUUCGGAAUUACUGGGCGUAAAGGGCGCGUAGGCGGCCUGUUAAGUCGAACGUGAAAUCCCCGGGCUCAACCCGGGAACUGCGUCCGAUACUGGCAGGCUUGAAUCCGGGAGAGGGAUGCGGAAUUCCAGGUGUAGCGGUGAAAUGCGUAGAUAUCUGGAGGAACACCGGUGGCGAAGGCGGCAUCCUGGACCGGCAUUGACGCUGAGGCGCGAAAGCCAGG